UAGUUUGAUCAUGGCUCAGAUUGAACGCUGGCGGCAGGCCUAACACAUGCAAGUCGAGCGGCAGCGGGAAGUAGCUUGCUACUUUGCCGGCGAGCGGCGGACGGGUGAGUAAUGUCUGGGAAACUGCCUGAUGGAGGGGGAUAACUACUGGAAACGGUAGCUAAUACCGCAUGAUGUCGCAAGACCAAAGUGGGGGACCUUCGGGCCUCACGCCAUCGGAUGUGCCCAGAUGGGAUUAGCUAGUAGGUGGGGUAAUGGCUCACCUAGGCGACGAUCCCUAGCUGGUCUGAGAGGAUGACCAGCCACACUGGAACUGAGACACGGUCCAGACUCCUACGGGAGGCAGCAGUGGGGAAUAUUGCACAAUGGGCGCAAGCCUGAUGCAGCCAUGCCGCGUGUGUGAAGAAGGCCUUAGGGUUGUAAAGCACUUUCAGCGAGGAGGAAGGCGUUGUAGUUAAUAGCUGCAACGAUUGACGUUACUCGCAGAAGAAGCACCGGCUAACUCCGUGCCAGCAGCCGCGGUAAUACGGAGGGUGCAAGCGUUAAUCGGAAUUACUGGGCGUAAAGCGCACGCAGGCGGUUUGUUAAGUCAGAUGUGAAAUCCCCGAGCUUAACUUGGGAACUGCAUUUGAAACUGGCAAGCUAGAGUCUUGUAGAGGGGGGUAGAAUUCCAGGUGUAGCGGUGAAAUGCGUAGAGAUCUGGAGGAAUACCGGUGGCGAAGGCGGCCCCCUGGAC
rnacentral:rRNA from 1 species